GGCCCAAUAGUACAAUGGUUAGUACGCCACUUUCCGGAGCAGGAAUUAGGUGGAGAUUCUAGGUUCGAGUCCUAGUUGGGUCG